CUUGACUAUAUGUGGAAUGAACUUCAAUCC
rnacentral:piRNA from 1 species